rnacentral:rRNA from 1 species
GCUGGCGGCGUGCCUACACAUGCAAGUCGAACGCGAAAGUCCCGCAAGGGGCAAGUAGAGUGGCAAACGGGUGAGUAACGCGUGGGUGACCUGCCUUCGAGCGGGGGAUAACGUCCCGAAAGGGACGCUAAUACCGCAUAACAUCCUGCCUUUGAAGAGGUGGAGAUCAAAGCUGGGGAUUCGCAAGAACCCGGCACUUGAAGAGGGGCCCGCGUCUGAUUAGCUAGUUGGUGAGGUAACGGCUCACCAAGGCUUCGAUCAGUAGCCGGCCUGAGAGGGCGGACGGCCACACUGGGACUGAGACACGGCCCAGACUCCUACGGGAGGCAGCAGUGGGGAAUUGUUCGCAAUGGGCGCAAGCCUGACGACGCAACGCCGCGUGGAGGAUGAAGACCUUCGGGUCGUAAACUCCUGUCGAACGGGACNAAAGUACUGCGGGUUAAUACUCCGCAGUCGUGACGGUACCGUUAAAGGAAACCCCGGCUAACUCCGUGCCAGCAGCCGCGGUAAUACGGGGGGGGUAAGCGUUGUUCGGAAUUACUGGGGGUAAAGGGCUCGUAGGCGGCCAACUAAGUCGGACGUGAAAUCCCUCAGCUUAACUGGGGAACUGCGUCCGAUACUGGAUGGCUUGGAUUUGGGAGAGGGAUGCGGAAUUCCAGGUGUAGCGGUGAAAUGCGUAGAUAUCUGGAGGACACCGGUGGCGAGGCGGCCUCCUGGGACCAAUAUGGACGCUGAGAGCGAAGCUAGGGAGCAAACGGGAUUA